rnacentral:rRNA from 1 species
UACAUGGGGUGCAAACGUUGCUCGGAAUUAUUGGGCGUAAAGCGCGCGUAGGCGGUUACUCAAGUCGGAUGUGAAAGCCCUCGGCUUAACUGAGGAAGUGCACCCGAAACUGAGUAGCUAGAGUACUAAAGAGGGUCGCGGAAUUCCCGGUGUAGAGGUGAAAUUCGUAGAUAUCGGGAGGAACACCUGUGGCGAAAGCGGCUCACUGGACCGCAACUGACGCUGAGGCGCGAAAGCUAGGGGAGCAAACAGG